AAAGGGCGCGUAGGCGGUUUGGCAAGUUUGGUGUGAAAUCUUCGGGCUCAACUCGAAGUCUGCAUCGAAAACUGCCGGGCUUGAGUAUGGGAGAGGUGAGUGGAAUUUCCGGUGUAGCGGUGAAAUGCGUAGAUAUCGGAAGGAACACCUGUGGCGAAAGCGGCUCACUGGACCAUAACUGACGCUGAGGCGCGAAAGCUAGGGGAGCAAACAGGAUUAGAUACCCGGGU
rnacentral:rRNA from 1 species